GCUAUGGCCUGCAAAGAUAGAAACGAAAAGAAAUGCCCUUGUGAGAUUGCCAUGGAGUUGAUGGGAAACCUUGUUAAACUGUCAUCAUUAUCUCUUGCUAGCAUGAAUUUAAGCUCAACUCUGAGAAGAUUGCCCGCAGCUGCCACUGGGCGCCUUGUGCCGGUGACCGGAACACUUGAUGCCAUAAACAUAUCAUCUGUGUCGCAACAGCCAAGAAAUAUCAACAUACAAGGACCGGAGGAGGAUGAUAUUGAUACAAGAGCUUCAAAAUAUAUCAGAAGGAUGCGGGAGAAGAAUUCAAAAUAUUGAAUUCUGCGUCCAUAUAUAAGUAGAGAAUGGUGAAUUGAUCUUGUUCUUUCUGUUCUGCUUUCUUUCUUUUGUCAAAAACCAUUUCAAGAACUCAUCCAAUGCAAUGAGGGAUUUCCCUCUAUUAAUUUGUAAAAGACAAUUAAUCAGGAACGUUGUUUUCAAGGGAAGGUACUACCAUA
rnacentral:misc_RNA from 1 species